GUAAGAAUAAUGAAAGAAAAUAAUUGUUAUUACCUUAAUGAAUAGAAAACACACAUACAAAUUGUUACAUGUGAGAUUAUUUUUGAAAUGAAUCAGAAGUGAGAUAGUUUGAAUCUAAAGCUCAGUGGUGAAAUGCAUAAAUUAAAUAUGAAUAUAUAGGAUGCAAUGAAGAAACAGCUUACACGUAGUGUACAUUAACAUGAAUACAUAGAAAUGCAACGAAGAACUCAAUGAAUUAAUUCAAUGAAGAAGCAGUUUACACUCAAUUAACAUAAAAUGCAAGGAAGAACACGCUUACAUGCAUGGCAUAAUUGGUAUUUCUGACCAGAGAUAGAGAAAUGGGUUAUUUAAGCACUUGUGAUAAUAAUGAAAAUGUCUUAGUUUUGUUAUUUUCAGGAGUAAAGCAGACCUGGACCAACUCUCCAGAUGCACCAGUCGGAAGGAAAUUGUAGGUUAACAUCAAUGGAUAAGUUAAGGCCUGGAAGACAGUGAACGGACGGCGCUGACAAAAUUACCAAGUACGAAAAUCAGGUGCUGGUUGCUGUACAUGAAUCCUGAAAACAGGAAAGAAAUGAUGAGACUGGGAGACGUGUCGCAGCUGAGCUUUCAUCCCACUUCACACUUUGUCUUUUGCAUAUUUAAUAUUUUCAAAUCUUCCUCACAAAUUCAAAUAAAAAAAUCAUAAUAUUCGUCCAUCUAAAAGUUUUAUAGACAG
ensembl:lncRNA